rnacentral:rRNA from 1 species
CAGAGGUCUCGAGCGUUAGUCGGAAUCAUUGGGCUUAAAGCGUACGUAGGCGGAUAUGCAGGCGUCGUGUGAAAGCCCUCGGCUCAACCGAGGAAUUGCACGGCGAACCGCAUGUCUUGAGACAAGUAGGGGCUGUCGGAACGAUAGGUGGAGUGGUGAAAUGCGUUGAUAUCUAUCGGAACGCCGAAGGUGAAAACAGACAGCUGGGCUUGUUCUGACGCUGAGGUACGAAAGCGUGGGGAGCGAACGGGAUUAGAUACCCCGGUAGUCCACGCCGUAAACGAUGUGCACUAGAUCGAGGAGGAUCUGACUCCAUUCUCGGUCGAAGUAAAAACGUUGAGUGCACCGCCUGGGGAGUACGGUCGCAAGGCUA